UACGUAGGGUGCGAGCGUUGUCCGGAAUUAUUGGGCGUAAAGAGCUCGUAGGCGGUUUGUUGCGUCGGCCGUGAAAACCUGCAGCUUAACUGUGGGCCUGCGGCCGAUACGGGCAGACUUGAGUUCGGUAGGGGAGACUGGAAUUCCUGGUGUAGCGGUGAAAUGCGCAGAUAUCAGGAAGAACACCCGUGGCGAAGGCGGCUCUCUGGGACGGUACUGACGCUGAGACGCGAAAGCGUGGGGAGCGAACAGG
rnacentral:rRNA from 1 species